rnacentral:lncRNA from 1 species
CGGGCUGCGGACAGGCUGGCAGCGGCGCGCGCGGGCUCCUCGGGCGGGCUCCAUGGCUGCGCCGCGGGCGGCACCAUCUCCGUGGCUCGCUCGUCACUCUCUCGCUCCAGGAGUGCGGCAGGCUGCGAGGUAGCUCUUACGUCUUUAAGGAAUCAGCAGUACCUAAAGAAUGUCACCAGAAUCAUCCUGAUGGAGGCAGGAACACGAGGCUGAGAAGAAGAUCUUAAGACCCGUGGGCAAAGCAAGGAAAGAGAGCAUGGACUGAGGGACCAUACCAUACCCUCCUUCUCCAUGUCAUCUGUGUGGCCUGGCUGAAGCUCCUAAAUCAUGGUGAUGAAAAACAUCAAGGACUUGUUUAUAUUUCCAUUGACCCCAUUUUAAUUGUGAAUGGUGAUUUAAAAAAACUCU